UUACACAUGCAGUCGAGGGGUAACAGGGAGUGCUUGCACUCUGCUGACGACCGGCGCACGGGUGCGUAACGCGUAUGCAACCUACCUUUUACAGGGGGAUAGUCAAGAGAAAUUUUGAAUAAUACCCCAUACGAUCCUGAUAUCACCUGAUAUUUGGAAGAAAACUUCGGUGGUAAAAGAUGGGCAUGCGUCCUAUUAGUUAGUUGGUGAGGUAACGGCUCACCAAGACAGCGAUAGGUAGGGGUCCUGAGAGGGAGAUCCCCCACACUGGUACUGAGACACGGACCAGACUCCUACGGGAGGCAGCAGUGAGGAAUAUUGGACAAUGGAGGUAACUCUGAUCCAGCCAUGCCGCGUGCAGGAAGACUGCCCUAUGGGUUGUAAACUGCUUUUAUACAGGAAGAAACCUACUUACGUGUAAGUAGCUGACGGUACUGUACGAAUAAGGAUCGGCUAACUCCGUGCCAGCAGCCGCGGUAAUACGGAGGAUCCAAGCGUUAUCCGGAAUUAUUGGGUUUAAAGGGUCCGUAGGUGGUUUGCUAAGUCAGAGGUGAAAUCCUACCGCUUAACGGUAGCACUGCCUUUGAUACUGGCAAACUUGAGUUAUUGUGAAGUAGUUAGAAUGUGUAGUGUAGCGGUGAAAUGCAUAGAUAUUACACAGAAUACCGAUUGCGAAGGCAGAUUACUAACAAUAUACUGACACUGAGGGACGAAAGCGUGGGUAGCGAACAGGAUUAGAUACCCUGGUAGUCCACGCCGUAAACGAUGGUCACUAGCUGUUUGACUAACAUUGGUUAGUUGAGUGGCUAAGCGAAAGUG
rnacentral:rRNA from 1 species